UACUGACACACUCUCUCUCUCCCCCCCCACAGGAAGCCCAAGGUGAUCUACAGUCAGUCCCGAGCUGAUGAAGUGGAUGAUAGUGACUUCAAACAGAAAUCUUCAUUCGUGGUCUAACCUUCUCUGACAGAGCAGGAGCCCAGCAUGAACAUCUAACCCUUCCCUCCACCCUCCGCCCUCUCUCCCUCUUCCCCCCCUCCACCCUCCACCCUCUCUCCCUCUCCCCCUCCUCCCUUCAGUUCCUCCGUCCCCAGGGGGAGAAUCCCCUCCCAAACCUCACCUUUUCCCUGGCAUCUGAACUCAACAGGAAGUCGGUGGGAUUGAGGUCUUAUCGUGAAAAUAAAAUCGUCUGUCUUUUUUAGGCACAGUCUUUUCAGACUUUAUGAAUUUUUUUUGAAUCUGUACAAAAUGUGGCUUUGUGAAUAUUAAGCGUCAGUUUUGGGGGGGGUUGGGGGGGUGGGGGGAGGAGUUUGUCUCUGUAUCAAGCCCCUGGCCGGGGCGUUUGAUAACUGUGGCAGGAGAUUUCCUAGUAUUUUAAAAGAGUAAAGGGGGCUUUGCUCUGUAUCUAACCCCAUGCUGUCCCUGUCCUGGGAAUGUUUGAUGGGGGACAGUGUAGAGGGAGCUUUACUCUGUAUCUAACCCCAUGCUGUCCCUGUCCUGGGAGUGUUUGAUGGGGGACAGUGUAGAGGGAGCUUUACUCUGUACCUAACCCCGUGCUGUCCCUGUCCUGGGAGUGUUUGAUGGGGGGACAGUGUAGAGGGAGCUUUACUCUGUGUCUAACCCCGUGCUGGGAGUGUUUGAUGGGGGGACAGUGUAGAGGGAGCUUUACUCUGUACCUAACCCCAUGCUGUCCCUGUCCUGUCCCUGUCCUGGGAGUGUUUGAUGGGGGGACAGUGUAGAGAGAGCUUUACUCUGUAUCUAACCCCGUGCUGGGAGGGUUUGAUGGGGGGACAGUGUGUAAUAUUUCUUUCUGGUCUGUAACAUCGAUUCCCUUUACUCUUUUAAAUAUUUAUUGUGGUGGAUAGCCGAGACUGUGCAGAGUGUGUCUCCUGUGCUUUUUGAGGAGAGCUUCUGAAUUUUGUAAUGUAUUUUUUAAACCUGUCUUUCAACUCUGUGAAUAAAGGUAAUUUCUCUUCCA